rnacentral:rRNA from 1 species
UUGAACGCUGGCGGUAUGCUUAACACAUGCAAGUCGAACGGAAACGAUACUAGCUUGCUAGUAGGCGUCGAGUGGCGGACGGGUGAGUAACGCGUAGGAAUCUGCCUGAUAGUGGGGGAUAGCCCGAAGAAAUUCGGAUUAAUACCGCAUAAUCUAUUCGUAGUAAAGUGGGGGACUUUCGAGCCUCACGCUAUCAGAUGAGCCUGCGUAAGAUUAGCUAGUUGGUAGGGUAAAAGCCUACCAAGGCAACGAUCUUUAGCUGGUCUGAGAGGAUGAUCAGCCACAUCGGGACUGAGACACGGCCCGAACUCCUACGGGAGGCAGCAGUGGGGAAUAUUGGACAAUGGGGGCAACCCUGAUCCAGCAAUACCGCGUGUGUGAAGAAGGCCUGAGGGUUGUAAAGCACUUUCAAUUGUGAAGAAAAGUUAACGGUUAAUAACCGUUAGCCUUGACGUUAACUUUAGAAGAAGCACCGGCUAACUCCGUGCCAGCAGCCGCGGUAAUACGGAGGGUGCAAGCGUUAAUCGGAAUUACUGGGCGUAAAGCGUGCGUAGGCGGUUUAUUAAGUCAGAUGUGAAAGCCCCGGGCUUAACCUGGGAACUGCAUUUGAAACUGGUCAACUAGAGUAUGGUAGAGGAAAGUGGAAUUUCUGGUGUAGCGGUGAAAUGCGUAGAUAUCAGAAGGAACAUCAAUGGCGAAGGCAGCUUUCUGGACCAAUACUGACGCUGAGGUACGAAAGCGUGGGUAGCAAACAGGAUUAGAUACCCUGGUAGUCCACGCCGUAAACGAUGAUAACUAGCCGUUGGGGGGAUUUACCCUUUAGUGGCGAAGCUAACGCGUUAAGUUAUCCGCCUGGGGAGUACGGCCGCAAGGUUAAAACUCAAAGGAAUUGACGGGGACCCGCACAAGCGGUGGAGCAUGUGGUUUAAUUCGAUGCAACGCGAAGAACCUUACCUGGUCUUGACAUCCUGCGAACUUUCUAGAAAUAGAUUGGUGCCUUCGGGAACGCAGUGACAGGUGCUGCAUGGCUGUCGUCAGCUCGUGUCGUGAGAUGUUGGGUUAAGUCCCGUAACGAGCGCAACCCCUAUCCUUAUUUGCCAGCACGUCAUGGUGGGAACUAUAAGGAGACUGCCGGUGAUAAACCGGAGGAAGGCGGGGACGACGUCAAGUCAUCAUGGCCCUUACGACCAGGGCUACACACGUGCUACAAUGGGAAGGACAAAGAGCCGCGAAGCCGCGAGGUGUAGCUAAUCUCAGAAACCUUUUCGUAGUCCGGAUUGGAGUCUGCAACUCGACUCCAUGAAGUCGGAAUCGCUAGUAAUCGUAGAUCAGAAUGCUACGGUGAAUACGUUCCCGGGUCUUGUACACACU